AAGAAGAAGAAGAAGAAGAGGAAGAAGAAUACUGCGAUGAGGACAAAUAAUAAGGUUUCUUUGUGAUUGAUAGUUUGAGUGCCACUAGUUUUGUGACAAAUUGGCAAUGCAUGGGUGUAAUUUACAACUAAAACUAAUACUUUUUGUUUUUUUGUCAAAACUGAAUCAAGGCUGCAUUUUUUUUUUUCAAAACUGAAUAAGAUUAUGCUUUAGUUUGUCAA
rnacentral:misc_RNA from 1 species